UGUUGGUGCAGGUAGAGCCCAAUUCAAACCAUUGUUGAGGACGCUGUAAAUGCUUUAUAAACGCUCCCAAUCGGUGCUCCGUACUAGCCUCCUGGUUCACAGGGAACACACCAGCUGCUGGAGUUACCCUCAGUGCGGCGGUGAGUCCGGUGGGGAAUUUCGCAGGUAAAUCAGUUCUCAACGACAAGCCAAGUGCUCACAAGGAGUCCCUAGGGGAAGCACAGGCGCCUAAUUCGUGCUCCUAGGUGACCCAAUUAGUACUUAUUGAAUGUUUCUGGCCCGUCCCUGGGGGGUGGGGAGAGUGAGAAUUCCUUUAGUUCCCUCAAAGGAUGGGGAAGGAGAGAUCUCCGUUUAUUUUCCCAUCCGUGAAACGGGGUCACGACAGCGUGGAGAGCACGCGCGCGGGGUAGCAUCAAGGGGGAGCAGGCUUCCCCUCCUCCCUCCCCCAUCUUUCCCAUCCCAGCUUCCGAGGAUUAGGAAUUGCAUGAGUCGAAAGUUUGUUCCUGGACGGCCAGGAGACCUCCAGACGCGAACGUUCCGGGGCUGGAACACCAAGAGGCCGGAAAGGUGCGGGCGCGAAAGCUCGGCGCGCGGACGUCCUCUGGCGCCCCGCUCCUCUCGCUCUCCCGCUCCUCCUUCCCUCGGUCCCCCUCCUCGCUGUCCCCGCCCCGCUCCCGUCCUCUCAUUGGCCGAGCCGGCCGGCCGGGCCUCCCCGGGAUUUAAAGGGCCCGCUCUCCGCGCCGCUCUGGGAACCGCAGCUCGUCCCGGCCUUGCGGCCUGCGGGGGAGGCUGCCCGGAGGAGGCGGCGACGGUGGCGGCGGUGGUGCGUCCCCGGCCCCCAGGACCGCGGCUUCCUUCCUGCCAGGGGUCCGCAAUGGCCACCUUCAGCCGCCAGGAAUUUUUCCAGCAGCUGCUGCAGGGCUGUCUCCUUCCUACUGCCCAGCAGGGCCUUGACCAGAUCUGGCUGCUCCUCGCCAUCUGCCUCGCCUGCCGCCUCCUCUGGAGGCUCGGGUUGCCAUCCUACCUGAAGCACGCAAGCACCGUGGCAGGCGGGUUCUUCAGCCUCUACCACUUCUUCCAGCUGCACAUGGUUUGGGUCGUGCUGCUCAGCCUCCUGUGCUACCUCGUGCUGUUCCUCUGCCGACACUCCUCCCAUCGCGGAGUCUUCCUCUCCGUCACCAUCCUUAUCUACCUACUCAUGGGUGAGAUGCACAUGGUGGACACUGUGACGUGGCACAAGAUGCGAGGGGCCCAGAUGAUCGUGGCCAUGAAGGCGGUGUCUUUGGGCUUCGACCUGGACCGAGGCGAGGUCGGUGCGGUGCCCUCACCCGUGGAGUUCAUGGGCUACCUCUACUUUGUGGGCACCAUCGUCUUUGGGCCCUGGAUAUCCUUCCACAGCUACCUACAGGCUGUCCAAGGCCGCCCGCUGAGCCGCCAGUGGCUGCAGAAGGUGGCCCGGAGCCUGGCGCUGGCCCUGCUGUGCCUUGUGCUGUCCACCUGUGUGGGCCCCUACCUCUUCCCAUACUUCAUCCCCCUCGAUGGUGACCGCCUCCUUCGCAACAAGAAACGCAAAGCCAGGGGCACCAUGGUAAGGUGGCUGCGAGCCUACGAGAGUGCUGUCUCCUUCCACUUCAGCAACUAUUUUGUGGGCUUUCUGUCCGAGGCCACGGCCACGUUGGCGGGGGCUGGCUUCACCGAGGAGAAGGAUCACCUGGAAUGGGACCUGACAGUGUCCAAGCCACUGAACGUGGAACUGCCCCGGUCCAUGGUCGAAGUUGUCACGAGCUGGAACCUGCCCAUGUCUUAUUGGCUAAAUAACUGUUGCGGGUCGCCUCACCCUGCCCUAUGGCACCCAGGAAGGGCAGGGGGGAUCUCAGGAGACUCUUGGCCUGCAUCUCGCCCCUCCAGAUGUUUUCAAGAAUGCUCUCCGCCUGGGGACCUUCUCAGCCGUGCUGGUCACCUAUGCAGCUAGCGCCCUCCUGCACGGCUUCAGCUUCCAUCUGGCUGCGGUGCUGCUGUCCCUGGCCUUUAUCACUUACGUGGAGCACGUCCUCCGGAAGCGCCUGGCUCGGAUCCUCAGUGCCUGCGUCUUGUCCAAACGGUGCCCACCAGACUGUUCACACCAGC